rnacentral:misc_RNA from 1 species
GAUGAAGAACGCAGCGAAAUGCGAUACUUGGUGUGAAUUGCAGAAUCCCGUGAACCAUCGAGUCUUUGAACGCAAGUUGCGCCCGAAGCCAUUAGGCCGAGGGCACGCCUGCCUGGGCGUCACACGUCGUUGCCCCCCCAUCUACUCCUUCGGGAUUGCGGGGGGCGGAUGAUGGCCUCUCGUGCGCCUCGUCGCGCGGUUGGCCUAAAUGCCAAGUCCUCGGCGACGCACGCCACGACAAUCGGUGGUUGCGAGACCUCGGUUGCCUGUCGUGUGCGGUCGUCGCGCAUCGAGGGCUCGAAAAAAUUGCCGGGCUUCGGCUCGACUUUCAACGCGACCCCAGGUCAGGCGGGGUUACCCGCUGAAUUUAAGCAUAUCAAUAAGCGGAGGA